UUUAACGGCCGCGGUAUUUUAACCGUGCAAAGGUAGCGCAAUCACUUGUCCUUUAAAUGGGGACCUGUAUGAAUGGCUAAACGAGGGCUUAACUGUCUCCCUUUUCCAGUCAGUGAAAUUGAUCUAUCCGUGCAGAAGCGGAUAUUUACCUACAAGACGAGAAGACCCUUUGGAGCUUUAGGUACAAGACUUAAUCAUGUAAAACAAAUUUAAAUGAAACUUUUUAACCUAGUGAACUAUAAGACUUUACCUUCGGUUGGGGCGACCACGGAGAAAAAACAGCCUCCCAGUGGAAGGGGUAUUUCCCAAAACCAAGAUACACACAUCCAAGUAACAGAACAUCUGACCAAACAUGACCCGGUUAAAACCGAUCAACGAACCAAGUUACCCAAGGGAUAACAGCGCAAUCCCCUCCCAGAGCCCGUAUCGACGAGGGGGUUUACGACCUCGAUGUUGGAUCAGG
rnacentral:rRNA from 1 species